GGUGUCGUAGUCUAAUGGUUAUGAUAACUCGUUGUGGUAAAAACAACUCCGAGUUGGUCCCAGUUCGAUUCCGGGCGAUGCCA